rnacentral:rRNA from 1 species
AGUCUGAACCAGCCAUGCCGCGUGCAGGAAGACUGCCCUAUGGGUUGUAAACUGCUUUUAUAUAGGAAUAAACCCUCCAACGAGUUGGGGGCUGAAUGUACUAUAAGAAUAAGCACCGGCUAACUCCGUGCCAGCAGCCGCGGUAAUAGGGAGGGUGCAAGCGUUAUCCGGAUUUAUUGGGUUUAAAGGGUCCGCAGGCGGGAGAAUAAGUCAGUGGUGAAAUCCUAUCGCUUAACUAUAGAACUGCCAUUGAUACUGUUUUUCUUGAGUGUAGUUGAAGUUGGCGGAAUGUGUCAUGUAGCGGUGAAAUGCAUAGAUAUGACACAGAACACCGAUUGCGAAGGCAGCUAACUAAACUAUAACUGACGCUCAUGGACGAAAGCGUGGGGAGCGAACAGGAUUAGAUACCCUGGUAGUCCACGCUGUAAACGAUGAUUACUCGGUGUUGGCGAUAUACAGUCAGUGCCUAAGCGAAAGUGAUAAGUAAUCCACCU